rnacentral:lncRNA from 1 species
AUAAGUUAUCUAUAUAUCGGCAAGCAUAAAUUGACAAUUUAUGAAUCUAUGAAUUUCAUAUAUUUUUCGGUGUUCCACGUUCUUGUCAUUAUCUAUGCUUGUCAUGUUCUUGUCCAUCUUGCCAUCUUGUAUUAAAAACGAUGCUACGUCGCCAUUUUUAAAAUUUUGCAACUAUUUGCUUUUCGAUUGAUGAUAAAUAAGAAUCGAAUAGUGUUCAUUUUAAUGUAACUGAAAAAGCAAGUUGUCUGCCAUAGUUCGUUUCAUUUUGGAGGAUCUAAUUAAUUACGGAACAUUAAAAAAACCCUGGAUAGCAUUAAUUUACAGUGCCUUGGUUGUGUCAGUGUUCAUUCGAUUCAGAAAGUAGCUGUCUUAAAAAGAAGCACAAAAGUGCCGUUUUUCUACUGGGAACGCAUACAGUGUGGCAUUGCUGAAGGAAGGAUUUAUGAUGAAUGAACUGAUUGUCCAAAUGAGAAGAAAUNACA